UCGACUCUUCUCCCCCCACCACGCAUUUCGCCUCACUGCUCCACCUCCACCGCCUACCCCCCACCACACGGAUCUCAUCACUCGUUCGCCAAAAGAAGCUCUCAUCCCGGCCACCGCCGUAGUCUUCCAGGCCGCCAUACGGAUCUCGCUACUCCUUCACCAGAAGGAGAAGAUCUCAUCCCGGGCGCCGCCGUACUCAUCAGGCCGCCGCGUAUAAGGCUCCUUUGAGCGGCGCAAUCUGCAAGUAGCCAUGUCCGACUCGCCCAGCUUCCUCACUCUCCUCUCUGACGCCGGCGCCGCCUUCUUCCCCCAUGUCGUGCUGGUUCCACAUCUGAAGCUUGGCUUUUUUGUGGGGCGGCCCAACGAGGCGUCCAUCCCCGAGGGCCCCUGGCCAUAGCAGCCGACUCCGCUCCUCCCUCCCCGCAUGCACCUAGCACCUCGUUGAGUGAGGAGUUCUUGGUGUUCACCUUCUACAAGCUGGUGCCCUUCGACGACCCCCGCGCACACCUCCACUUCGUGCAGGUUAGGAAGAUUACUUGGAUGCUUUUCAGGCUUCUCCAGCAUUAACCGGGCAUGCUCUCCAGUACAAACAAUGACUUAUUCAGGUACGUUUAGUUCAGUACCUUCAUACAUUUCAGAGCUGUUGAUAUUAACACAACAACCUGUUAGAAUUCAGUACCUUCAGGUUUGUGUCAAAGUUGUUGUGGAUCGAUUCAGUACCUUCACAAAUUUAGAGCUGUUGAUAUGGGUGGGGUACUAGUUUCAAACAAGAUCACAGCAAAAUGAUAAUGACAAUUUAACAGAAUCACGGAAACUUGUUUGAAACUGGUACUGCAAAAUCAAAUUCUAGUGAACCUUGACUGAAUCAUGCACACACAGAAACGAGUGAAAUUUGAUAGUCAAAUUUAACUUGUUAUUCUGGGCGAAACUUGACUAAAUCACAAUGUUUACUACAAAAUCAAAUUAUAGUGAAACUUGAAUGAAUCAUUCAAUGACAAUGACAAUGAUAUAGGUGAAACUUGACUGAAUCAUGCAAACACAUUCAGUAAUUGACUUGUUCUCAUCUAACUUUAAUUGCAAAAUGACAAUACUAGCGAAACUCAAAAAACCUUUAUUUGUUUGCUGGUUCAGUUAGCCAGCAGAAACUUUAUUUUCUGAAACCACAAUCACAAUGAUAAUUCUUGUGGUUGUUCUCAUCUCACUACCAAUCAAUUCUUGUACCGAAACUACAAUGACAUUUUGGUUCUGAAGAACCUAUAUUUAAUGGUUCUGAAUAACCUCUGCUGGCUAUAUAUGUCCAGUAGGAUGUACUCUUGCAAGCCACAACCAACUCUGGUUGUUUCAUCUGACAAUGACAAUUCUCGUUGUUCUCAUGCCACCGUUUCUGAAGUAGGGAAAUUACUGGAGUAGCUGGCAUCAGUUGAUCAAUUUCAUCAGAGGUCAUGUUCAGCUGCAGAAACUGUGUUUGGCACACAUCGGAGGUCAUGUACAACAUAUGAUCAAAUUAGAGAACAAGCAAGGAGUAUCAUCCAAUUUCAAUAAUUGAAAGUGAAAUGGGAUGAUCUGCAACACCACAAUUUGGAUGAGUUUGUUCAAAGCUACAGUGAAUAUGUUCAAAUUUUAUGAUCUGCACCACCACAUUUGUUCAAAACUGGAUGAUCUGUUCUAAUUUAAUUUCACCAGAUGACACCAAUUUCAGCAGGCAUUCUACCUUUCAACCACCACCACCAAGCAGCAGAGGUGGGGGCGCUUGAGUAAAUCAAAGUCGAUGAUCGGGGGCUCUACACCACCCUAGCAGCACCAGCUACAACAGAGGCGAGGAAGACAACAGCAGUAGCAGAGGCCGGAGUGGCCAGAAAAUUUCGCGUCGCUGGUGGCCGAAGCGGAUAAAGUGGCUGGUCCUACGAGUGGCGGUGGUGGUCGCCUCUGUGGCAGCGGCGCAGGUGGGUGGUGGCGCUGCGCCGGACGGUUGAUGCGCUGGUCGCUUCCGUGGGUGGCGGUGGUGGGGCAGUGCAGGUGGGUUGCGGUGGUCGAGCUGCGCAGGCGGCCUCCGUGGCGGCUGCGCAGGUGGUUGGUGGCGUUCGACCCGACGGUGGCUCCCGCCGGCGAGCGAGGAGGAAGGAAGGAGACGGGUUGAUUUUUCAAGGGGGUUAAACGUAUGAGAUUUUUUUCUUUUUUUGCAAAAAACACAAUGAACACUUUUCUGGACGGAGAGAGUAGUUUUUAUGUCUUGAUGAUCCGUACUUGAUCAUAUUUAUAUUUGUUUAUUUAUUUGAACCGGAAACUGAAUCUAAAUUUUUUAAGGAAACCGAAUCAGUAUCUAUGUAUCAUCCUUCAUUUAUUUUC